UACAGAGGGGGCUAGCGUUAUUCGGAAUUAUUGGGCGUAAAGGGCGCGUAGGCGGCCAUGCGUGUCUUCCGUGAAAUCCCUCGGCUUAACUGAGGACGUGCGGAAGAAACUGCAAGGCUCGAGUCCGGGAGAGGGGGGUGGAAUUCCCAGUGUAGCGGUGAAAUGCGUAGAUAUUGGGAGGAACACCGGUGGCGAAGGCGGCCCCCUGGACCGGAACUGACGCUGAGGCGCGAAGGCCAGGGGAGCAAACGGG
rnacentral:rRNA from 1 species